rnacentral:lncRNA from 1 species
UCCAGGUAAGUUGCUAAACCUAUCAAGGGUCUCAACCCUCUAUGAUUCUUCCUUCGAUCUCUCCAAUGCAUUACAUCCCUCCAUAUCACUGCCUGCAAACCAUAUGCUCAAAAAUCUGUUACACAACCCAAAAAUGGAACCAAAAUCAACCAUUCCAAAAGUAAUUUUUUUCAUCAGUAUCAACUAUCAAGCCAUUCACCAUGUUGGGAAACAAUGACAACAGAAUCUAAGGCAUGUUAUGCAUUCUUUUCUUAUCUUUAUGAUUAUUAAUGGUAGAUAUUUAUUCUUUUAUGAGAUAAAAAGGAAAAGAGCCCGAAGUUAAUAGGAUUACCAGUAAAUCAAGAGCCCAGCAAAAAACCACAACCGUACUUCAUUUAUUAUUUUAUCAUAAACAAAACGUUCCAAAUUAUUUACUUCUUUUGAUGGCUACAAAGCCGCAGGGGAUGGUUUGAGCAUGAGUGUCAUCUUUAAAAGUACCAUAGUGCCAUAUUAGAUAGACUCAGAAGAUUCUUUACACGAUCACAUCACCAGACAAGAAUAUCUACAUCUUCAUGAACUUCGGUGAUAAAAUAGAGAUGAAUGUUACAAUUUCUUGAGGAUUUAUCCCAAUAGAGAACAUCUUAUAAUGUACAUUUAUUCAUCACAACCUGAACAUUUUUGGGAGAAUUACACAUUACAUAUGUUAAGAAAGUGCACAUUUUAGAUAUUGUCACUAUAUAAACUAUAUGACAUUACUAUAGAUUGCAUAUGGACUCUGUCCUCCAUGAAGUAUGAUGUUUGCAGACAUUUAUAAAACCGAAAAUGUUAUAUUGCAGACCAAAUAUUUGAACUUACUAACUUUUAUAACAGCAUUUAAACACACAGUUAUCCCUUAAAAAAGAAAUACAUUUCCAAAUAAAUCCGUUUUGAUAACACUUUAAAACUGAAAUCCAAAUUGCAGUAAAAGAAUCUCCCUCGUAAUAUUAAGGUAAACACCUCCUCGUUAAGUCUGGAUAAUACAAACUGUAACUACAUCACAUAGCCGACUCUUCUUUUGAACACUAAAGGAAGUUCAUUGUUUGAAAACUCGGCAAAGUCGACCUGAGCACCUGCAUGGAGAGUAAAUUGUGUGUAAUCAAGGAGUGAGAUACCUGCACAGUACUCAUGAGUACUGUAAGAAUUCCUCAUGCAGACUCCCUCAAGUUCUAGAUUACUAGGGUAAGUCGCUACAGUCCUUGCCCAAGUGCUGUUAGUAAAACAAAAAGAUGAAAGGAGGCGAAGUCUGCCCCCUUUGUUAAAAAAAAACAUGAUGGCUUUUCAGCAUUUAGAGACACUACCGAGUCGACUCAGACUCAGUCGAGUUACUCAGUCUUGGCUCUUUGCCAAGUCAAGUACUGGGGCAAAACUCGGGGUUAUCUGAAAAAAAAAAGAGCAAUAAAAAAAGCUCUCGUAAAUUGUAAAAUCAAUGUAUAAAUAUUUUGUACAUAUUUACAAUUUGUUGAUGAUGGUUUGUGAGUGUUUCUUGUCAAAAGCCCUAUUGUAUAUUUACCUUUUGUUUUGGAUUAUUCUAAAAUGUCCCAAGCUAUAAAACAAAUUUUUCUAAGUCCAUGUUUAAUAUAUUUUUUUUCCAUGUUAUUUCGACUUUUAAUGUUGUUUACUUUGAUUUUCACUAAUUUUUAUUUUUAAAAUUUAAUUUUUUCAGUUUUUAGGGGUUUCUUAUUGCCUCGUACACUACUUGGGAGAACAUCCAUAAAAGUAUGGGCAUAAUAUGAGCAUCGAUCAUAAGAAUCCAAACAAGAAAUAAAAUAAUUAAAGUCAAAUCAACAACAAGAAGAAAAAUGACAAUAAUAAGAAUAAUAAACGUGGUUUUUUUUCCAAAAAAUAAAUGCAAUAUAUAAACAUGGGGUUUUCCAAUGACAUUGCCAAAUUACGAAAAGCAUAUCUCAUGAGCGAUUCAACAUUUUUUAUUCCAUUUUCUGAUUCCAACUAAAAUGUUAUACUUCAUUCUUCAUUCCUGAAACCCCAUACUAAUUCUGUAGAUCAGAGAUGAACUAUAUCCAGAUUUCUACAUUAUUUAUCAAUAGAUGAACUUAUGAAGUCUAGAUGCAAAAUCAAGCCGGAAGGCAUACUUUGAAACUUGCCAAAAAAUAGAGCACUUACUGAGAUAGAAGAUUUGAAGGAUCAAACUUGAACCAAGACUUGGCCUACUUAGUGUAAGAAAAGAUUUAUGAUCAUUUCUUGCUCAGAAGAUAAUCUUCUAUUCAAUGGCGUAAUCAUAGAUAUAAUCAUCAUAGUCAGAAUCGUAGUCGGAGUCAUGUAAGUAGUAUAUAGGUUUGUAAAAAAUGUGGUCAUAUGGUUCAUGGAUUGAGUCAAAAUCAAUAACCAUCUCAACAUUUUGAGAAGCCCUCUCUACUUUUGCCAAAUUCUCGAGAGCUUUUGCAUCCUUCUCUCGGAACUCAUGCUCUCAUAGCAACUAACAGUGAUGUUCUUAAGCUACUUGGCAUACAUGAGCAAGAAUCUUACGAAUGCUUCCUCCUCCUCCAAUCCUGAGAAGUUUCUUAUCACCACAGUUCUAAGGCAGUCUCCAAUGCAAUAUGUGGGCACUUUGGGGUCCCGGUUUAACCAACCUUCGGGAUUAUGUUGGUCAAGCUGAAUAAAAGUGAGAAGAAUAAAAAUAAGGAGAAAGGAGAAUUGAAAAAAGAAAAAGAAAAUUUUAAACUUUAAAUAAAAAAUAAAAAUAAAUAAAU